rnacentral:rRNA from 1 species
ACAGCAGUAGCCGCGGUAAGACAGAGGAUGCAAGCGUUAUCCGGAAUGAUUGGGCGUAAAGCGUCUGUAGGUGGCUUUUCAAGUCCGCCGUCAAAUCCCAGGGCUCAACCCUGGACAGGCGGUGGAAACUACCAAGCUGGAGUACGGUAGGGGCAGAGGGAAUUUCCGGUGGAGCGGUGAAAUGCGUAGAGAUGUGGAGGAACACCAGUGGCGAAGGCGACUCUCUGGUCUGUAACUGACGCUGAGGAGCGAAAGCGUGGGGAGCGAACAGGAUUAGAGACCCCCGUAGUCCCUGUCUCUUAUAC